GACCAGCUGGCUCAGUUGGAAGAGUAUGUGACUCUUGAUCUCAUGGCUGUGAGUUUGAACCCCAUGUUGGGUU
rnacentral:tRNA from 1 species